UGGUGAUACAGCGUGUAAACACUGCGAGCAUUCAUCAGUUAUCGUAGAAUGGCCGACCAGUCGUUAUAACUGAUGGAAAUACCUAACCUAACCUGCGCGUAAAGCGCUCGCCAUUGAUGCGACGUGUUUCUUCACCCUUAGGUUCACGUCAAAUAAAAAUGGAAGGGGUCACUCGCAGUCCUUUUUUUUU
rnacentral:telomerase_RNA from 1 species